GCCGCAAUAGCUCAGAUGGUAGAGCACGUCAUUCGUAAUGAUGGGGUCGGGGGUUCGAUUCCCUCUUGCGGCACCA
rnacentral:tRNA from 1 species